AGCCAGGGCUGGUUGUGCCCCUGCUCUCCCUCUGCAGAGCCCGGGGCUUCCUCCUCCAGCGUGGGGAUGGCUCCAUUCCUUUUGCACUGGAGGGGGAGGAUGCGGGUGAUCAUGGGCCUGCCCGUUUGCAUUGUAUUAAACAUCACACAUUGCAAUGCCAUCUCACAUGAUUUGCUCUGUAGAGGUAGGAGCGCAGGCGGGAGGUAUGUAGAUGUUGGCGCACCAUCCAUUUUGUAUUGCCUUGCAAGCUCUCAUCGCUUGCAUUGAAAAGGGGGCAGAAUGCAGAUGCUGCUGCUCAGUCAGUCGUGCCCUGUGUUAAGCACCACAUAGUGGGCGCUACCAGGAUAAAAAUAAAUAACAUUGCAAUGCAUACUACCGUGGUCUGUGUUGGCUGGAGUGGAAGGCAGAGCUAAAGACAGAUGCGUUAUUCAGUUUGCUUUACACUGCAAUGCAGACUCCCUUGGAUGCAGGGAGGGAAGUAUUAAAAUUCACAAACUGCAAUGCAAUGAAAUCUAUCCAGAAACCAAAUCCUUCAGUCUUUACUCAGCCAGAAGCCUAGCUGAAAUCAAGGACAUUUUUCCUAGGUAUAAGCAGCAGCAUAGAUACUAAUGUCUGACUUGGCAAUCAAAUACGGCUGGUGUGACUACAUCGACCAGAGAUGGACCCAGAGCAUCAGGACAACCCGAAUCUGACACGUUGCUCACCAGCACAUAGAAAGAUUGAAAAAACCAAGAGUUUGAAAAUCAGAAAGCAAACCAAAGUAGUCCCAUAAAAUUAAUUUGCAUCCAGAAGAGCAAACCCCCGUUCAUUCUACCCACACAUUACAACACCUUUGCUAGAACCACCAUGUUCUGAAAAGAGCAGGAAACUACAGGAUAAUACUCUGAGGGAAGACACUCAGUGUUAUGCUCCCUGUUUGCCAGUUGGGCAGUGCUGCUUCUAACUUUGCUGUGUAACCAUCCCUUGGCAAAGUGACCAGUUUACCUCACAGCUAUUUAUUUUGGGGGCUGGACGAUGACCCAGACCACUUGCUUUAUCAGCAGCUAGAAAGUCAAUCUGCAUUUCUUAUUCAAGCUUCCCAUAAAAAUGUCUUGAUUUAACAAUCUGCUCAACUGUGACGAUUUGGAGGUUCUGUCUGUACCAAUUCUGAGUUGUGGAUGAGGUUAUGAAAUUGUAUCAUGACAUUACCGUGUCUUGGAAAGCCUAUAUGUUUUUAGAACCACCGCGAGUUAGCAGAGUUGUUUCACAUUUUUGCCAGGCCAGAGACAAUGGUGGGUGACAAAGCAGACAAUAGCCUAUUCAAAGUAAAAUACCUUUGGACAAUGGAUUUGCUCUAGCUGGGAUAAGACACUUCCUCCUCUUGUCUGAAGGGGGGAGGGGCGUGCCUUGGGAGCAAUGGAAAGUUACCAAAAAGCAGAACAAAAGCAGCAGGUCACCCCCACUCCCCGGCAGGAAAUUAUAAAGGGACACACAGAGGGGACAUGGGGGAGGGAGCCAUUUUAUACCAGAUUAAGAUGAGGGAGCCUGCAGCGGGGGCAGGAUAGGCAAGGGGGCAGAGAACCCUGCCUGCCUGAUGGAACACAGAUGAGCUCCCAAGGGAAAGGUGAGCUACUGAGGGACAUUGCGUUUAGGAUAUUUUAUGGUUUUCUGUAUGAUCUGUAUUCUAUGUGUUUUGUUAAGUAAAGAACAGCGGUGCUAGAAUCGGUGCUAAGCCUAUCUACCAGUAUGGUUUGGUCUACACUACAAGGUUAGAUCGACAUAGGGUGACCAGAUGUCCCAAUUUUAUAGGGACAGACCCGAUAUUUGGAGCUGUGUCUUAUAUAGGCUCCUAUUACCCCCCACCCCCAUCCCAAUUUUUCACACUUCCUGUCUGGUCACCCUAAGUCGACAUAAGGCAGCUUACAUUGUCUACAUGAAAAUGCACUACACUACACUGCAAGCGUCUACAUGAAAAUGUCACUCCCACUGAUGUAACUUACCCACUACGACUACUUAAUAACUCCACCUCUGUGAGAGGCGUAGCGUUUAGGUUGAUGUUCGGUUGACACAGUGUCAGUGUAGACACUGCAUUGCUUACAUUGACUGCUACUGCCUUUCAGAAGCCAUCCCACAAUACCCAACAUUGACAAUUGAAUCGGUGCAAGCGCUCCUGGUGAGGACACGCACCAACAACACAAGGAGCUUAGUGCAGAUAUGGAAAAGCAAUUUAAUUACUCCAGUGACUGUAAGUCAACGUAACGUAGGUCGAUUUAGUUUUAUAGUGUAGACUUGCCCUUAGUGUUUAAGCGCUCACAACUACCACAUUGGCCCUGAAAGAGAGAAACUGUAAACCAGAAGCUUCACACCUUUUGGGUGGGUUCUAGGAGAAGGGUAUGCUUAAGUACAAGGGAGCUGAAGGCUCAGUGCUGCAUGCAGAGGGGCUAGACAGCUGGACAGUGGGUUACAACACUCAGAGUGGGGUGCUAGAUAGAAGGUCUGAGCUGAGAGAGUAUGCCUAGAGACUCAGAGAUUGGGGCCAUGGCUGGAUUCCAGUCAGGCCCCAACAGUUUGAAACACCCCAGGGACACAAAGCAACACAGGCUUGGAUUCCCCUUGUAGCAGUCCAACUGGGCUAGGAAGGGGGACUUGCUAGGAUGUGCGACACCAAUAUACGCUAGAUAGCACAUCAUAUCAAUAGAAGCCUCUAGCCCAGCUGUUGCAGUGUAUAGCUGAAUCCUGACAUUCUAUCAAUGUUUCACCAGCUGAGAGUGUGUUAUAAUGUAUAUUUUUCUUUUGGUAAGUAGGAGCCCAACCCAACAAAUCCUUACUCACAGGAGUAAUCUUAUUGACUCAAUGCACAAUUAAGGACCACAUACACACAAGUAAAGGUUUGCAUGGGAACUGUAAAUGUAUUUGGAAUCGAUUCACAGCAGUCUGGACAGUUGGCAUAUACAUACAAGACAGUACUCUCUGCAAAGUAAUACAUUUUUCAAAUGUAAAUAAUCAAACAACCUGAUCUUAUUAUAUACAUCAGAAAAAAUCGUAUUCAAAAAGCAUAAUCCAGAAUGACAUGGCUAUUACUGUGUCCUAAAAUGGUGAAAACAACAUUAAAUAACAUUACCAUCCCAGGUACGAUGGUAAAUUAUUUAACUUGAGUUCUACUAAAACAUGUGCUCCUAACAUCUCUUUUCCAACUUGAGUGUCAUCUCAAACAGUUUAUCAGAAGGAAAAAUAUUGCAGCGCUUAUCUAAAUAGUUCUGAUCCUCCAAAACCUAUGAAGGCGAGACACUGCGGAGAGAAUAUGUCAGGGCCCCUUUAUGUAGAUAUAGAUGCUUUCCCAAAUUACCUUAAUUAAAAAAAAAAAAAGAAUUAAUCUGCAAUUAUGUCACUUUGUGCUAUGGCACUACCAGAUCUCAGGGCUUGUCUCCACUACCGGCCGGAUCGACAGGCAGUGAUCAAUUUAGCAGGGGUUGAUUUAUCGUGUCUAGUAUAGAUACGUUUCAGAGCAGCAGCCAUGUUAGUCUGUAUCCGCAAAAAGAACAGGAGUACUUGUGGCACCUUAGAGACUAACAAAUUUAUUAGAGCAUAAGCUUUCGUGGGCUGUAGCCCACUUCAUCAAAUGCAUAGAAUGGAACAUAUAGUAAGAUAGAUAUACACAUACAGAUAAGAAAGGAGUACUUGUGGCACCUUAGAGACUAACCAAUUUAUUUGAGCAUGAGCUUUCGUGAGCUACAGCUUUUCUCACCCUGGAUUUGUGCUGGAAAUGGCCCAACCUGAUGAACACUUUAGAUAAGCUAU